UGGCAGGUUCCUGUGAUCAUAGCGUGU
rnacentral:piRNA from 1 species